ensembl:lncRNA
AUGCGUUUUUGCUUUUCUUUUGGCCAAAUCAAGGUAAAUAAAGAAGAUAUGCAAUGUUUACUGUUACUAUCCUGUUAUGAUCUGAUUCUAACAAUGUACUUUCCAAAGAAUCAUGUACUCAAAAGAACCCCAAAACCACAUAAGUCAGUUCCUGUAUUUGGUAUGUUUUUGGUUUUAUUAGUUGUUGUACAUUAUUGGAUAGUAUUCACACCAGUCUUUCUGCAUCCCAUAUGGCAACUUAUUCCCUAUAUAGUGCCAUCAUUUUAACCAGGGGCCAUAGGGCUCUGAUAAAGAGUUGUGCACUAUAUACUGUAUUAAUAGGGUGCCAUUUGGGACGCAGGUCUGUAAAGGGACAGUCUUAACCUCUUUUCAUUGCCCUAUGGAGGUUAAGGAAGGUUUGAUAUUGGAGUUACAAGCAAAUCAACAGAUAUACAGUUAUAUUCCUAUAUCAACUCUAGUUAUACACCUCUUAGCUCAAAGCAGGCUAACAAACACUUAGGUGAGGUUAAAAAUAUUUUAGUCAGUUCGUACAGUAGUAUUGAGGAUUUCAAUGAUUGUACAGUUAUUUCAGGAAUGAAAUGAAUGCCCUUUUACAAUGUACAUGUAGCCAUGUCUUUGUGCACUGUGGCAAGCCCAAAGUAAACAUUACUGUGUACAUUUCUUAUUCAACAUAGAUUAAAAACAAAACAGGUCAUCAACAUUGGUUAGUGGGAGCGAGACAAGACUAGAUGGUGAGGAGGAGAUGAACUGUAUGACAGGUGGAAUACAUUAUCAGGACUAGAUGGAGAGGAGAUGAGAACUGUAUGUUAAGAGUAUGACAGGUGGAAUACAUUAUCAGGACCAGAUGGAGAGGAGAUGAGAACUGUAUGUUAAGAGUAUGACAGGUGGAAUACAUUAUCAGGACUAGAUGGAGAGGAGGAGAUGAGAACUGUAUGACAGAUGGAAUACAUUAUCAGGACUAGAUGGUGAGGAGGAGAUGAGAACUGUAUGUUAAGAGUAUGACAGGUGGAAUACAUUAUCAGGACUAGAUGGAGAGGAGGAGAUGAGAACUGUAUGACAGAUGGAAUACAUUAUCAGGACUAGAUGGUGAGGAGGAGAUGAGAACUAUGUUAAGAGUAUGACAGGUGGAAUACAUUAUCAGGACUAGAUGGAGAGGAGGAGAUGAGAACUGUAUGACAGAUGGAAUACAUUAUCAGGACUAGAUGGAGAGGAGGAGAUGAGAACUGUAUGACAGAUGGAAUACAUUAUCAGGACUAGAUGGAGAGGAGGAGAUGAGAACUGUAUGACAGAUGGAAUACAUUAUCAGGACUAGAUGGUGAGGAGGAGAUGAGAACUAUGUUAAGAGUAUGACAGGUGGAAUACAUUAUCAGGAAUAUAGUUGACAUAGCAGUGGAAUGUGAUGUCUCGUAAUUGAUGUCCAGCCCUCUUUCCAUUGGGUAAAAUACAUCACAUGUAUAGUUUUUUUCCUUCUGUUAAUACUUUGUUACAUACCAUAACCUAGAACAUUCCAACUGUACUUGUUAUACUGUUUUUCUAAAUACCACAGGUUGAGUAAAUUGACAAUCAACAUCUCCAAUAGAUACAGGUGUACCACGACAUCAGAGUGAACAUAACACAGUGCUAAAGUUUCAGUGAAUGGCUGGUUCUUUCACAGUGGACCUCUCUGCUGUACCAGACAGUCAUUUCAUUUGAAUUGAGAGGCAGAUUACUUAUACCUUCCUUUAGAUUGGUACAACACACAAACAUAACUUUAAAAGAUAUAAAGACAUGUAACUUGAAUCAGUGAGUUUCACAUUCAUGCAAAUAAAAUAACGAUGUAUUGUAGUAAUGCAACACUGCAAUGGUUGAUUAAUUUGGUAGGCAUAGCAACUGUACCAUGUUGACGACUAGGUCGAAUACUGGAAACAGACAGCUGAAGUAUCAACCGUAGAUUCAGGCAUCAGAAGUAAUGCUAUUUUCCUUCAAAUAAGGUCCUCAAAAAAUGUUUUCAACGGGUCCUUUGAUUUAGGCUACAUCGUUCAAAUCCAGUGAGGGCAGGCCAGCAUAGGUAAACACUGAUGUAAAAUAACAAAAAACUAUAAGUACCCAAAUAAUGCUUUUAAGAUAAUCUUCACUUAUGUUUCCCUCUUAUCAAUACAUAUGGGAGAAAAUGCAAUAUCUGUACAUUAAAAGGUACAAUUAUUUUUCUGUCCGCUCAGGUUGUUUCACAUUCAAAUAAGACUAAUCAACAAAUAUCAACUGGGCAAAUCAGGAGUAGAGGGGUGGCUAUGAUAUCAGAUGAAGGACUGGAAUGUUCAAAUAUUCUGUCUAGAAUGUUCUCUGACUGGAAUGCUCUACAGCUACCAAUGUUCUAGAUUAUAUAAGGUUCUAUCUAGAACCAAGCAAGGGGCACCACCAAGCAAGCGGCACCAUGAAGACCAAGGAGCUCUCCAAACAGGUCAGGGACAAAGUUAUGGAGAAGUACAGAUCAGGGUUGGGUUAUAAAAAAUAUCUGAAACUUUGAACAUCCCACAGAGUACCAUUAAAUCCAUUAUUUAAAAAAUGGAAAGAAUAUGGCACCACAACAAACCUGCCCUAAGAGGGCCACCCACCAAAACUCAUGGACCAGGCAAGGAGGGCAUUAAUCAGAGAGGCAACAAAGAGACCAAAGAUAACCCUGAAGGAGCUGCAAAGCUCCACAGCGGAGAUUGGAGUAUCUGUCCAUAGGACCACUUAAAGCCGUACACUCCACAGAGCUGGGCUUUACGGAAGACUGUCCAGAAAAAAAUAAGCAAACACUUUGUGUUUGCCAAAAGGCAUGUGGGAGACUCCCCAAACAUAUGGAAGAAGGUACUCUGGUCAGAUUAGACUAAAAAUGUUGCUUUUUGGCCAUCAAGGAAAACGCUUUGUCUGGCGCAAACCUAACACCUCUCAUCACCCCGAGAACAUCAUCCCCACCACCAGUGA